rnacentral:rRNA from 1 species
GACGAACCGUGCGAACGUUGUUCGGAAUCACUGGGCUUAAAGGGCGCGUAGGCGGGCUGGCAAGUCCGGGGUGAAAUCCGUCGGCUCAACCGGCGGACGGCCCUGGAUACUGCCGGCCUCGAGGCGGGUAGGGGCGUGCGGAACUAUGGGUGGAGCGGUGAAAUGCAUUGAUAUCCAUAGGAACUCCGGUGGCGAAGGCGGCACGCUGGACCCGAUCUGACGCUGAGGCGCGAAAGCCAGGGGAGCGAACGGGAUUAGAUACCCCGGUAGUCCUGGCCCUAAACGUUGAGAACUAGGUAGCAGGCCUGACAUGGGCUUGCUGCCGGAGCGAAAGUGCUAAGUUCUCCGCCUGGGGAGUAUGGUCGCAAGGCUGAA